GUUGAUUUUCAAACAUCAUUCUUAAUCUUUCUGAACUUACAGUGAACUUGUUAAUAAGAGAUUUUAGUUGGUCAACUUCUUCACUCAAGUUUUGGUUUGUUUUGAUUAAGCUAUGAUUUUUCUGAAUCAAUUCUUCUGAAUUUAACCUUAAGCUUUUAUUUUCAGAAUUUAGUUUGUCUUGUAUUUCAGCAAUAGAAUUUCUUUCUUUUGAAAUUUCCAAAUUUAGCUUUUUAAGAUUUUUAUUUUUCAUAGCUAAUUUUU
rnacentral:lncRNA from 1 species